rnacentral:lncRNA from 1 species
UAAUUCUUCAUCACAAACGUAACUCGAUUUCACAAAACAUUCAAGAGUAAUCACACCCACUUCAUUAAAAUCUCGAUUCACCAGUACAACACUGACUUCAGCAACAAUUGUCUCAGUCUUCCCAAAAUCCUAUGAAGAAAAAAAACCCCAAUUCUUUGUCUUUUUUCCCCGCCCCGAAGCAUGAAGCUAGCUCUCUGACCCUUCUAAAAAACUUAUUCUCUCCCCUUCAUUUCUUAACCUAUCCUCCCCUUUAACCCUAAUUCUCCCCUC